rnacentral:sRNA from 1 species
AAACAGAUCAAAUGGGACAUUGUCGGC